UGUUCACGCUGGGAGGAAGCUAUGGGAAGGGCGCUGGGUGAUUAUUAACAAGGGAGGGAUUUUCUUUCCCCUUUGUAUCCUCUCUGCAAAGCUUGCAGGUGCUGCCUUGACCCACUGCAGAAGUGAGUUUUCACCUGGAGGGCUUUGAGCCUCUUCCAGGCCAGCCAGAGGGGAUUUCCAGGCAGAGGGGUGCAGGGCUAAGGCUGAGGCACUAGGGCCAGCCAGGAUAACUGGUGUGGACAGCUUGCGUCAAACGAGUUCACCUGAGCCAGGCAGCUGCUGAGUCGGCAGGGCUGGGGAUCUCGUUCCCAGCAGCUGCGGGCAGGGCAGGAGGAGCUCUGCUCCCUCCUCCGGUCCUUGCUUGCUCGCUGGGCAGGGUUUGGGCUUUGGCAGCUGACCCAGGGAGCGCAGAGCUCCUGCCCCACUCCACAGCCUGCAGAGCACCCCAUGCCCUGAGGGUGCCCGUCUUGGGCGAUGGGGUGCUGUGGGGUGCAUCUGUGCUGGCAGCUGGGAUGAUAUCCACGUACCUCCUCCGUGGGUUUCGGAGCACAUCCCGUUGUUGAGGCACGGAUUGCUGCUGCAGGCACCGGUCGGGGAGCAGCACUGCUUUAUCCCCACCUCCUCCACCACUUCCUUGGAUUGCCCUUUCCCAGGCAGGAGGACCACUUCCCUGCCGUUGAUCGCAAGCACAUCCAGGCAGCCCCUGAACCCUCGUGUGAGUCUCUGGGACUGGAGGGGUUGCCGGAGGCCCCCAAAAAGCAGGUCUCGUCUGCCCUGGGAGAUGCCACAGGUCCCUGGCAGCUGGAGAGAGGCGUUCCCCAGGCCGUCGAUGAGCAGGCGGACAGACGUGUUCUUCACCUCCAGGAAGACCGAGUGCCACUCGCCGUCGCUCACGAGGCGCGAGGAGGAGAGGUUCCCAGGGUAGCUGCCCCGACAGCUGUAGCCGAGUGCUCUGUUGAUAAAAGCUCUCCUUCACAGAAGCCAAGAGCCCAUGGAGAAGGAGAAAUGACAGAACAAGACAUUCACAGAAAACCUGCACAGCUUGCUGCUGGGAAUGCCAAGCAGAUGAGAUCUCCACUGGGGGACAUUAGAGACGACGAGUGGCGAUGCUUGGAAGAGGCUAGAGCAAGAGGAGUGAUCAUGGGCUACACCAAACUGUAGAGGAACCUACAUCUGGUAUGAUCGGGCUGCUCUGGAGGGGCCAAAUGCAGAGUGGGACAUCAGUUCACUCUUAGAGAAGUCUGUGGCACAAACAAAGCUCAGUGAGAGGAGAGUGCACACACUGAAAGAAGCAGGGAUGACAAAGGGAAGGGAGAACUGGAUGCAGCCGGCACGUGCUGUGGAAGGGCCUCAGGGCAACGUGUGUGUGAAUCCCUUUGCACGAUUGGCAGGCGCACCAGAGAGCUUUGUCACUUUGCUUUAUCUGGAGGAAGGUGAUUUCACUUCAGAUGGGUCUGUAGAUUGGGCUUAUCGAUUUCUGGGGCUGGGAGACAGCUGAGAACUCGAUUCCCUGGAGCAAGAGCUGAUGGACUGCCAAGUCCUUCCCAGCGUGCCUGGCUUGCCAUCCUGUCCCUGCGUCCUGCUUCUGAAUAUCGGUAGAGCUUAGCAACUGGAAGAGCGAUGACAUGCAUACCCCUGGGAGAAGCUGUCCUCUUUACCAAAUCUUCAAACUGUCAGCUAAAAUUCUUUCACAGCUUUGUCUCAUACCUAGAACAGGGCAGUCCCCAAAGCUUAAAAUCCUGAGGGCUUCCUUCAGUCAUUCAGGCCAGACAGACCCUUCUUGAGGAGCUACAUUUCUCUCAUCAGCCCUUUGCAGCAUGGCUUAAAGUCCCAGCUGGAGGUGGGCACAGGACAUGGAGAUGAUGUUUCUCUGCUUUUGUCCGUAAUGGUUAGGGAUGUGACAGCAGGAACAACACAUACUUUGGGUUGGUCUCUGGGUGUUGGCCACUGCACAGCUUCCUGUCUGUGUCGGUCUUUUGUAGCAGUGGGAAGAAAAGUGUUUCAAAAUAGGAAGAUGGGAUUGCGAAACCAUGAGAAGGGACGAGGGAGCUCGGGGACAGGAUGAACACUUGCAGGUGGAUUUGCAGUGUGUAGAUCACAAUGUGAUUAGUCUCGGGGAUAAGUCUCAGUAAGCUGAUAAGAA